AUUGAACGCUGGCGGCAGGCUUAACACAUGCAAGUCGAGCGAGCGGCGGACGGGUGAGUAAUGUCUGGGAAACUGCCUGAGGGAAGGGGAUAACUACUGGAAACGGUAGCUAAUACCGCAUACCAUCAGAGGUGCCCAGAUGGGAUUAGCUAGUAGGUGGGGUAAGGGCUCACCUAGGCGACGAUCCCUAGCUGGUCUGCGAGGAUGACCAGCCAAACUGGAACUGAGACACGGUCCAGACCCCUACGGGAGGCAGCAGUGGGAAAUAUUGCACAAUGGGCGCAAGCCUGAUGCAGCCAUGCCGCGUGUGUGAAGAAGGCCUUCGGGUUUUAAAGCACGUUCAGCGAGGAGGCGUUACUCGCAGAAGAAGCACCGGCUAACUCCGUGCCAGCAGCCGCGGUAAUUC
rnacentral:rRNA from 1 species